CCUACGGGCGGCAGCAGUGGGGAAUAUUGGACAAUGGGGGGAACCCUGAUCCAGCCAUGCCGCGUGUGUGAAGAAGGCCCUCGGGUUGUAAAGCACUUUCAGUGAGGAAGAACGCCUGGUGGUUAAUACCCAUCAGGAAAGACAUCACUCACAGAAGAAGCACCGGCUAACUCCGUGCCAGCAGCCGCGGUAAUACGGAGGGUGCGAGCGUUAAUCGGAAUUACUGGGCGUAAAGCGCGCGUAGGCGGCUUGAUAAGCCGGUUGUGAAAGCCCCGGGCUCAACCUGGGAACGGCAUCCGGAACUGUCAAGCUAGAGUGCAGGAGAGGAAGGUAGAAUUCCCGGUGUAGCGGUGAAAUGCGUAGAGAUCGGGAGGAAUACCAGUGGCGAAGGCGGCCUUCUGGACUGACACUGACACUGAGGUGCGAAAGCGUGGGUAGCAAACAGGAUUAGAUACCCCGGUAGUC
rnacentral:rRNA from 1 species